rnacentral:rRNA from 1 species
GAUGGGUCCGCGUCCCAUUAGCUAGUUGGUGGUGUAACGGACUACCAAGGCGAAGAUGGGUAGCCGGCCUGAGAGGGUGAACGGCCACACUGGGACUGAGAUACGGCCCAGACUCCUACGGGAGGCAGCAGCUAAGAAUAUUCCGCAAUGGACGAAAGUCUGACGGAGCGACGCCGCGUGGAUGAGGAAGGCCGAAAGGUUGUAAAAUCCUUUUGCGGGCGAAGAAUAAGCGGGGCAGGGAAUGGCCUCGUGAUGACGAUAGCCCGUGAAUAAGCCCCGGCUAAUUACGUGCCAGCAGCCGCGGUAACACGUAAGGGGCGAGCGUUGUUCGGAAUUAUUGGGCGUAAAGGGCGCGUAGGCGGUUAAUCAAGUCUGACGUGAAAUACAUGAGCUUAACUCAUGAACUGCGUUGGAAACUGGCUAACUAGAGUCACGGAGGGGGAAUCGGAAUUCCUGGUGUAGGGGUGAAAUCUGUAGAUAUCAGGAAGAACACCGGUGGCGAAGGCGGAUUUCCAGCCGAUGACAGACGCUGAGGCGCGAAAGUGCGGGGAGCAAACAGGAUUAGAUACCCUGGUAGUCCGCACUAUAAACGAUGCACACUAGGUGCCGGGCCGAGCGGUUCGGCGCCGAAGCGAACGCGAUAAGUGUGCCGCCU